UUUUGGAGUGGAUACUUAGUACCUGCCACAAGAUUGUUUUGGUAUGGGCAAAAAAGGAUGAAACCUAAGAGCACUAAAAUUUUUAAAGUUAUUGAGGAGGACGUCGGAUCCUUGUAGAGCGCCUUGGAGGUAGAUCGACGGAUGUUUCAAAAAGAUCAACUGGUUUGAUGGAAUUUUGAUUAGAAGUGGAGAGAAUGGGUUCAUCACCAUUAUCAGUAAUGUGAGGAAGAAUUGGUGAUUGGAAAGAAAGAAAAAUGAGAGAU
rnacentral:lncRNA from 1 species